GCCUGGCUGGCUCAGUCGGCAGAGCACGUGACUCUGGAUCUCGGGGUUGUGAGUUCGAGCCCCGCGUUGGGUG